UGCAAACAAAAAGGAACAAAAAUGGACACAUGCACACCUCACAGUUCAUAUGGUAGAUACAAGCCUGGUCAUGUAUGAUAUACACAACUGCCUGGAAGCAUGGCCAAGAUGUCCACCACAGACUUUACUGUAAGAACUUGUAGAAUGAGUAAAUGCAUGGCAUGUAGCUAUGUGUGAAUGAUAAUGUAGCUAGCUAAUUCUAAAUCUUAUUACACAAUUGUUUGAAUAUCAUGUUUUUAAGCAUUGCUUAAUUAUUUCUUAUUGAUAAACCUGGUCAGGUUAGACCAUACCGGGCCAGCAAUGGCUCAGUGGUUAAGGCUCUGGAAAAUUCACAGUGGAUCCAGAUCCUAUGCGCGUGAGGUAGUAAUACACCAUUUAUGGGACCAUUGUCCAUUGCAGCUCACAUGCAUUCACACUUGUUUUGUUGGAAGAUUGGAGGAAACCAGAAAACACAGAGGAAAGCCAAUGCAGACACGGAAAACAUGCACAGAAACGCUCUGGAGCUGUGUGCCACAGUUUGACCCCUGGGCAAAACUCUCAGGAAGAGGAGAAUAUUCACUGCCAGAAACGGAACUGAUCGAGACAUGAUGCUCAUGUUCAGAAACUUCUUCAUCUUCCAAAUGGUGAUCUCCUUCUACGUUUAAAUGCUUUUUAAAGAGCCUGGGUGCCACAAAGACCGAGUUUUCCAUCUGAACAAAAUGAGAUUUGAAAAGAACUUCACAAAUGACAAAACAAGUGUUCAGAUUUAGGAAGUCCCACUGAGAUCAAAUGAUCUCUUUUACAAGAGAGACCUGGCCAAGGUGCAUAAUAGGAAAAAAGGAGUUUUCCCCAGAUCUGUCAGAACCCGGGGUACAUUAAAAAGCAACAUCUGGAGGAGUGCAAGUGAUAACUACCCGAACUAAGGAAAAGAAGGUUAAAAAGCAAGGAAACACUGUGGCAAGAACCUCCUGGAAGACUCCUUACAAAUCCUGCCAUGCUGUCAUAUCCCAGAUAGCAACGGGAUGUCCGACCAACUGCCACUUCACG
ensembl:lncRNA